rnacentral:lncRNA from 1 species
UUUCUUUCUUUCUUUUUUGAGACAGAAUUUCACUCUAUAGCCCAGGCUGGAGUGCAGUGGUACGAUCUUGGCUUACUGCAACCUCUGCCUCCCAGCCGGGUUCAAGCAAUUCUCCUGCCUUAGCCUCCCAAGUAGCUGGGACCACAGGCGCCCACCACCACACCAGGCUAAUUUUUAUAUUUUUUAAGUAGAGACGGGGUUUCACCAUGUUGGCCAGGCUGGUCUGGAACUCCUGACCUCAGGUGAUCCGCCCGCCUCAGCCUCCUAAAGUGCUGGGAUUACAGGCGUGAGCCACCGUGUCCGGACUGUAUGUUUUUUUAAGAUUCAGAUUUUAACACAUUUAUUUUAAAAAGAUCCUUUCUAUCACCACAAAAUUCACAAUUCUUUCCAGAACUAUGAAUGUAGGCAGUGCUCCCUCAGGGUGGCUCCCAAAGUCCUCCCUCUCCCAGGCCUGACUCGUGGCCCUCAUGGUGGUGAGGGUUCCCCAUUACCAAAUCUGUUCUGCUCUCACUCCUCUAAGUUGCUGUAUCUUGUUUUCCAGAACCCUCUUCACCCGUGGUUAAACCCUCCCUAACCCUGAGCUCGUGCUCCCCUCCCGGUGGACGCAGACCUGACCACAGAAGCCCUGCAGCACUCACUGGGGGCUUGAGGGAGCCCCUGAGUCCCCUCCACCCUCGCCGCCUUCUCCUGGGUACCCAGGAAACGUCUCCAAGGGAGGCUGUGACCCAGGACCCCGCCUCGACCUCACCUUCUUCUGUAAGGCGCAGUGAAAGACGAAGAUGAAGACCCCCUGGAAGGCGUUGAAGGUGGUGAAGAGAUAGGCCAUGACCACCGACUCCUUGUUGAUGAAGAGGAGGCCGAAAGCCCAGUGAGAGCCUCGAAGAUGUAAUCACAGAGAGAGAGAGAGAGAGAG